AAGUCGUAACAAGGUUUCCGUAGGUGAACCUGCGGAAGGAUCAUUACAAAUAAAGCUGGUAGGAAGUGGGGUCUUGAUCUGUAAGUGGUAGAGCGAACAGUCCGGCUGCCUCCCGAAAUGUCUUACAUGUCCCCCACAGCCUGAAGGCCGAAUUACAACCCUUGAUUAUCUACACUUGUUGCUUUUGGGGCGCUCAAGUAGCCCCAGAGGCCACCCAACCUCAUCUUGCCAUUUCAUGUUGACGUCCUGAGUAGCUACAUAAUAUUUAAAAU
rnacentral:misc_RNA from 1 species